rnacentral:rRNA from 1 species
CAUGCAAGUCGAGCGGUAGCACAGAGAGCUUGCUCUCGGGUGACGAGCGGCGGACGGGUGAGUAAUGUCUGGGAAACUGCCUGAUGGAGGGGGAUAACUACUGGAAACGGUAGCUAAUACCGCAUAAUGUCGCAAGACCAAAGUGGGGGACCUUCGGGCCUCAUGCCAUCAGAUGUGCCCAGAUGGGAUUAGCUAGUAGGUGGGGUAACGGCUCACCUAGGCGACGAUCCCUAGCUGGUCUGAGCGGAUGACCAG